AUGCUCGCUUCAGCAGCACAUACACUAAAAUUUUCCAAUUUAGGAUACAGAGAAGAUUAGCAUGGCCCCUGCACAAGGAUGACAUGCAAAUUUGUGAAGCAUUCCAUAUUUCU
rnacentral:snRNA from 1 species